AUGACCUGCGUCCAAGCAGAGAGCUGGGAGUCAGCAAUGUUUGGUAGGGUGGAGCUUCACCAGCUUCCUUCUAGAUAGCUUACUCUCUGGGUGGAUGCCGCGACUGUAUCAGCAAUUCAGCCAGCAUGGACAGGAAUCCGGGUCGCUCAUUAUCCAGAGGCACGGUCAUGUGAAGACACAGUAAGGAGACACACACCUACAAACAAGCCCUCAGGAGAGGUUCCACCAGACACCGACACCACCAGGAAUGCCACUGUAAGAAUAUUAAAACAGUCCCUAAGAAGUCUCCAGCAUGAAGACACUGUGAAGACAUGGCUUUUAACUGCAGUGGUGAUGUCCCAACCCUAGAAAAUAUGUUUCUGUGCAUCCAACAAUAGUGUCACCAAGGUGGAGAUCAGUGUUCCCUGGGACAGGCUCUUCUCAGCUACAGGGAGGACAAAUCUAUUUUCCAUUCCUGGGGCACCCCAGCAGCCUGCCCUCUGAGUUCUCCCUGCUGGUAUGCUGGGGCCUUGGGUGGGUACCAGGGGUUAAGGAGGGUAGCAGAGAACCAGCAAAGGGUUAACUGUUCACAGGAAGGGGAAACAUCCAUCCAGCAGAAGGAAACUGGUGGAGGCAGGGGUUAGUGUCUGAUUUGUUAGUUCUCGGUGUGCCGGUUUUGAGUAGUCCUAAAUGAAAAUCAAGUCUCUAAACUACAGAUUCCAAACAGUCUCAGCUCUGGUAGCAUGUGUCCAAUUCUUACUUCCUUUUUAACUCAGUGUUGCUAAAUCUUAAUAAAUCCGUUCCCGAGCUUUAACCUGAAUUUCCAGGCCCAUUCCCCGAGGCUCUCCGGCGUUGUGACCUGAUCCCUGUCUUAGCCCAUGUGCAUGGGGCUGUGUGGUUCCUCUGGCACCUGGCCAAUUGUUGCUAUUUGCUAUGCCAAGACCUUCCUUUACUUGGAUCACUUCCCCUACAAAUGUAGACUCCUGCUGGAGCCCUGGUGCUCUCUGGCCUGGGUGUUGCCUGCCACUGAUGCUAAGUUGAGACUCCUCUUUUCUUUCUUGACCUCCCUAAGUCUCCCAGGGGUCAUAGCCCGAGUACACUGACUAUACUGAAUAUCCGUCGAGGGUUUCCAGCAGAGCUUAUGCACUACACCAGCUGCAGCAGGAGCGUGAGAUCUUGUCAUCAGGACACCAGGCUUCUGGUUUUCCCCCUUCUGCAUUUAACAGAACCACACCUCUAAAAGUUGAUCUUUGUAAAAUUAGUUCUUUGAUGACCUCAUACAAUGAGUUUUGAUUCGCCCCUGACCCAGCGCUGUCCAGAUCUGUGUCCCCUCCCCUUCCCACCCAGCUUUGUGUCUUUUUCCCUGUGUGAUGCCUCGGAGGUUCAGCUCUACAGGCCAUUUGUCCUGCCCCUCCUUCAAAGGCUCAGGGAUCAUCGCGGAAGAGAGCAUAAUAGCGUACAAGGUGGUAGGUGACAACCACAAGAAAAGCGUGUCUUCUGGACAUGACAGGGCAGCUGCACAUAGGGACAUAUGUGACAGCUCACACAAGCCCAAGCCAUACCAACUCCAUGGAGAGAGAAUUUGAGCCUCAAGUUCUUCCCCUGAGGAGCAACUGUUAGCAGGUAGGAGAGCAAGAAUCAGGUUUCUCUAAGAGUUCAGCCUCUGAUAAGUUGAGCAGACCACAGUGGAAUGCCAGACAGGAUCGUGUGUAAGCCCUGAGGCUCUCCAUACUGAAAUUUAACGGGAGAAGCAUGGCCUUGAUGGAGGAGGGAGAGGAUGCUUUGUUCCCCGAGUCCCUCAGCUGUCACAGAGGAGACCCUACCUUCUGUGCUUUCUUUAGGGAGGCGUCAUACUUGGACCACCAGUCGAUGACAUUCUCAGCAGACUCGUCUGCUAUGGUCCUCUUUCUCCUUUUGGUGGAUCUCCGGGAAGGCUUCCUGGGAUCUUGCUAUGGGAGGAGAGGCAGGUUACUAGUUGGGCCUUAUUGGUUACAUGUAGAAGUCAACUGGGUAUCUGAGUAAUUUGUAGGUGCUGGUGAAAAGUGGACAGAGGCAUCUGUUGGUUUUUUUGGUAGCAGUUCUCCAUGUUGCUUCAAUAAAGGAACAGUUACCCAUGUUUUCAACCAUCCUUCAAUUAAUUCAGCCACUAGUUAUGAAGAUGCUUUACACUGAGUUUGACUUUUGGAAUUUAAUAGUGUGUCAACACAAACCCAGAAAGCUCUAAGUGCAGCCGGGGAGAUAGGGUUCCAGGCCAUGUGACACAAUACUAUGUAAUGAAGGGGUAUUGGCUGCAGACAGAUUUGGGUUAACAAUU